rnacentral:misc_RNA from 1 species
GAUGAAGAACGUAGCGAAAUGCGAUAAGUAAUGUGAAUUGCAGAAUUCAGUGAAUCAUCGAAUCUUUGAACGCACCUUGCGCUCCUUGGCAUUCCGAGCAGCAUGCCUGUUUGAGUGUCAUUAAAUUCUCAAGACCUGUCUGCUUUUUUGAUAGGUAUUGGAUUUUGGGGGUUGCAGGCUGUUUCAAAUAAAUAGCCUUGCUCUCCUUGAAUGUAUUAGUGGAGAAAAGCCAUUGAACUCCAUUGGUGUGAUAAAACCUAUCAAUGCCAGGAGCAAUAUUACUACUUCUCUCUGCUGUCUAACUGUGACUGUCUGUAUUAAUUAGUAUGGAUGGGGACAACUUGACCAACUUGACCUCAAAUCAGGUAGGACUACCCGCUGAACUUAAGCAUAUCAAUAAGCGGAGGA